CAGGAUUGUAGCUGUUAAGCCUGCGGUGUAGGGGACAGGGAUGGGGUUUAGCCCCUGUGCCUGCCUGGCCCCUUCCCCAGGGCGUGGGCCCCAGACACGUGUGUGAGGAGUCAUUGCUGAACCUGUCUCGUGCUCCAGCCUGGGUAGCAGUGGGGAGCUGGAGGGGGGGGAGGCGGGAGGGGAUGGGGGGGGUAGCACAUGCCUCCAGCUCCUGGAUUUUUCUGCUGUUUUUUCGCUAUAAAUAAGGGACUGCUGACUGGAGCCCCGAGCCCUGCUUGUCUUUACAGGCUGCAGGAACAUGACUGUGGAAAGUCAAGUAAUUAAAUCUGUGCACUCUGGAUUCUGGCAGGGAUGAGCUCUAGAAGUUCCAACAUUGACCAAGAUUGAUGUUCUCCUUGUGUCUUUGGUGGAGACGAGGAUGCUCGUGUGAGUCUAUUCUGGGGUAUUCAGAGAGGACUAACAUGGCUACAACAACACAACAAACAAAACUGGGAUAUUCCAGCUUCCGAUAAGCAGACAGAGGCUGUCAGAUACCAAUCCAAAUAGGACCCUGAACUCCAAAAAUAAGCCUGGAUCCCAACUUCAUAUCCCUACAAACUGCAGCAAAAUCCUACUUUAGCUGUUUUUUCUCAACACAACCUUAACCAUGGACUUGCUACCUACGCCUCCAUAAUAACAAGCCAAAAGUAAUUCCCGGGUUUGACACAUUUCUCUGUAUGUGGGUUUGAAAUUUGCAACUAAACUUUCCCAAAACUUGGAGUGUUGACAUUUAGCCAUUAGAGGGAUCUGAGCUGCAGCCUCCGAUCAGAACCCAGGGUUUGGAUUCAGCGUUCUGGCUCACACCCAUCGCUUUGAUCAUCCUUCAUUAUUGGGGAUGGAUAGACAGCAAGCAUUCCAGCUCUCAGAAUCUUUUGGGUGGGUUUCAGGAUCUCUUCUUCCCCGGUCUGGGAUCUAGGAUCGGAAGGGAACAGUGCCCUAUGUUUAACAUCCCUGGAGAUUUCCUGAUUGUUCAAGGAUAGACAGAGGAGUCCUGAACUAUAUUUCAUCAGCAAAGUGGCACUGGGCUCCCUGACGGAGUUGCCUUACCAGAAAGCCUUACUGGCCAUGGAGAGGCAGCCAGUAGUUCUAGAUGUCAGUGAGUAUUUUGUUUGUCAUAAACUCCAGCUCUAUGAAGCUGAAAUCCCACCUGGGCUCUAUGGGGCUCGUGUGUUCUCAUCACUCAAUUCCCUUUUCAAAGGAGUUUCCCCAGCAGGAGUGAUAUUACCGUGUUAGCCAUAGGGAGUCUCAUAGCAAUGGCACAUCCAGGCAUGGGGGCAUGAAGAGACUUUCCCAAGGCCACACAGCAGCCCACCAGCAGAGGUAGGAAUAGAAAUCCUGUGUCCCAGGCCUGUGCUCUAUCCAUUAGGCCACACUGCCUCCCUUUGGUUAAAGGGGAAUUCACUGGAACAAACCUUUCUUCUAAUAGGAGGGGUGUGUGUGUGUGUGAGAGAGAGAGAUCUUGUCCUUUCACAGGCGUUGCUCAGGGUCCAUUGGGGUGAGUUGUAUAACGUGCUUGCUAGAAGAGUUGACUUUCCACCCACCCCCACUGCCUCCUCCCCCUCCUCCCUUUGAGCUAUGCCAAAAUAAAUACGCUUCAGUUUCACCAAUCUCCUUGCCUCAGAUCAAAGGCGGAGUGGCUAGCUGCGCUCUUCCCCUGCAGGCUGAGGGGGUUAAUCACACACAGGCUGGUGUAAGUGAUGCAUCUGCGUGGCUGAGACAUGUUCCAGACAGGGGCUGUUUGGGUUAAUUUAGCCCAGAACAAAACUCGGCUGCCUUCCUUUGCAUUGCCCCUUCAUGGAUUCACCACUGACAUUUUUAUUUCUUUGGGUUACAAGACACAGCUGAGAUCAUGGUUCCCCCAUCGUGCUAGGCACUGUACAAACUCACAGUGGGAAACGCUGCUAUUCUUUAUUUAUAUUUUAUAUAGCAGGAACAUCUAGGAGCUAGUCCUGGACCAGGACUCCUUGUCCUAGGUGCUCUUCAAACACAGAACGAAAGGAUGGCCCUUGCCUUAAAGAGUUUACAAUCUACGUAGAAGACAAGAGACAACAGGUGAACACAGACAGGAGGAAUACAAAGAAACAAGGAGACAGUGUUGGUUGGUAGGACGGGCAGUGAUCUCCACAUGCCUGCAGUCUAACUGUUGUCCAGUUUUUUGUAGGCACCGUGGAAAAGGAGUUUUAAGGAGGGAUUUGAAGGAGAAUAAUGACCCAAAGGAUUCACAGUCUAAUCUGAGCACCCAAGGGUGAAGUGCUGGGACUGUCUAGGUGUGGCUCACAGCACUGAGCUGCUAGAGACAAGUUUUUCAUGGUUUGAUUUAUUUGCACCAUCAAAGAAUUCAUUGUCAUUUUCACACAACACACAGUCAACCUGUGGAACUCCUUGUCAGAGGAUUCUGUGAAGGCCAAGACUAUAAC